UACGUAGGGCGCAAGCGUUGUCCGGAAUUAUUGGGCGUAAAGAGCUCGUAGGCGGUCUGUCGCGUCUGUUGUGAAAACUCGAGGCUCAACCUCGGGCUUGCAGUGGAUACGGGCAGACUAGAGUGCGGUAGGGGAGACUGGAAUUCCUGGUGUAGCGGUGGAAUGCGCAGAUAGUCAGGAGGAACACCGAUGGCGAAGGCAGGUCUCGUGGGCCGCAACUGACGCUGAGGAGCGAAAGCAUGGGGAGCGAACAGG
rnacentral:rRNA from 1 species